UACGAAGGGGGCUAGCGUUGCUCGGAAUCACUGGGCGUAAAGCGUGCGCAGGCGGUCUUGCAAGACAGAUGUGAAAUCCCCGGGCUUAACCUGGGAACUGCAUUUGUGACUGCAAGGCUGGAGUACGGUAGAGGGGGAUGGAAUUCCGCGUGUAGCAGUGAAAUGCGUAGAUAUGCGGAGGAACACCGAUGGCGAAGGCAAUCCCCUGGACCUGUACUGACGCUGAGGCGCGAAAGCGUGGGGAGCAAACAGG
rnacentral:rRNA from 1 species